AUCAUUUAACCAAAAUACAUGAUGGGCAUUUGCUUGUAGAUUUAUGUACCUUGGAAACAAAUUAUCAGGUCUCAUCAUGCCAGCCUAAAGCAUGGGCAGACCCUUUAAAGAAAAUUUGCUAAAUGCUUCAAGGUUCUAAUCUAUCUAGACUUUCCCAUAUGCAUUACCGAUAAUUUCUGAGUAACUAGUUAUCUCAAAACUGCAAACAAUUGCCAUUGGCAUUCAUUUCACACCCUACAAAAUGUG